CAGUCGCCGCGGGAAUACGUAGGGUGCGAGCGUUAAUCGGAAUUACUGGGCGUAAAGCGUGCGCAGGCGGUUUUGUAAGACAGAGGUGAAAUCCCCGGGCUCAACCUGGGAACUGCCUUUGUGACUGCAAGGCUAGAGUACGGCAGAGGGGGAUGGAAUUCCGCGUGUAGCAGUGAAAUGCGUAGAUAUGCGGAGGAACACCGAUGGCGAAGGCAAUCCCCUGGGCCUGUACUGACGCUCAUGCACGAAAGCGUGGGGAGCAAACAGGAUUAGAUACCCCCGUAGUCCCGUCUCUUAUACA
rnacentral:rRNA from 1 species